AUCAACUAAUGUUUUUAACUGCUCUUCCAUUAUCUUUGUGAGGUUGUGGAGGUUGUAUAUGAUGCUUGUUCUGAGAGUGGAGGGGAAAAUGCUGCCCUUAUAUAGAUUGCAUGCAGCAUCUUCAGAGAAUGGUUAAGCUUAGUGGUAAGAGCAUUGCAUUAACAACGAAAGGUUGUGGGUUCGAUCUCAGGUGAUUGCACAUACUUAUGUAUAAAUGUAUAGGAUAAUGCAAUGUAAUAUACUACUGUUUACUACUGAUUUGUUUUGAUUUUUGUAUAGGUACAUGAUGUGGGUCAGGGCGGUUUGGAAAGAGCCAAAUGGAGAGGAGGAGGGAGUCAUCCCCGAGGUUUGGGUGAAGGACAACAUGGUACACUGGCCACCAGGGGCUAAUGUAACUAAAGCAGCUAAAGAGAUGCGAACGCCAACAAGUAGCUGGAAAAUGUUUCCACUGCUGAAAAUCAAAUUCAAGUCAAAUAAUCAGGAAGAGUGUGAAGCCUUCGACCAAACAAGUACUGCAGAGAUCAGUGAGGAAGAAUGUGGUCCUGUCAAGAGGGUAUCAAAGAAAAAAAUAUACCCAGGGUUUAUUUUAGAUGAGGAUGAGCAUGAAAGCAGGACGAAGCGGAUCGGUCUGUCCUUUCCAAAACCACCAAGGAUUCAAGAAAUGUCUAGCCAGGCAUUAGGAUCAGAAGAAAAUGAUUAUAAAUCCAGGUCCAGGAGUCCAUUCCAUGACUCUCUGCUCCAAAGUUCUCGCUCUCUAUCCCAGUGGUCCCACACUCCCAGCCACAGCACUGUACGCCAACAGUCCCACACUCCGCACCACAGCACUUCACACGAGAGGUCCCACACUCUGCGCCACACCACUUCACGCCACCGGUCCCAAUCUCCAACCCACAGCACCCCACGCCAGCGGUCCCGCACGCCACACCACACCACUUCAUGCCACCAGUACCAGUCUCCAACCCACAGCACCCCACGCCAGCGGUCCCGCACGCCACACCACACCACUUCAUGCCACCAGUACCAGUCUCCAACCCACAGCACCCCACGCCAGCGGUCCCGCACUCCACGCCACCGGUCCAAAUCUCCGACUCGCAGCACCCCACGCCAGUGGUCCCGCACUCCACGCCACAGCUAUUCACGCCCACGGGACAGCUCUCCACACCAGCGCUCCAGCUCUUCUUAUGAGUGCUCCCAAAGACCAGCUAGGGAAAACCAGCACAGAGAGGGUGGAGAGCUAUUCCCAUUAGAUAAUGGAAAAUUCCAAAGGCGGGUCCUUUAUCUUCUUUCUGAUAUUCGGGCAAAGCUGUCAGAGGUGGGCCAAAACCGUGAGCCCCCAGAGUCUCAGUUCCACCUUGAGAAAAUGAACAGCAGGCGUGAGCUAAAAAAUCUGGAAGGGCAACUGGCCGUUGAAGAAAAGAGGAAUGUGAUGGUGUCUCGGUUAGUCAGGAUUGGGGGUGCAGACCUUGAGGACUGUGUAAAAAAUAUGAUGAAAAGAGUUCUUACCAACAGAUUGAUGGCAACAAUGAACAUGGAUGGCUCAGGGGUGAAGAAGGCCUUUGGAAAAACACGGCUAUGCCGUGUUAUGAUAGGUGCUGUACAGCAGUCGAAACCUUCUGCGUCAGAGGCCGAAAUAAAGAAAUACAUGGGCAGCUAUCUCCGGUCUGCUCCUGAUAGAUAUGGGGGUAUGGGACGGCAAAAGGGGAAAUCGGCCAUUGAGGUCUGUUCAGACUCUGAAUAA
ensembl:lncRNA